rnacentral:snRNA from 1 species
ACAUAGUUAUCCGUAAUUAGUGAG